rnacentral:rRNA from 1 species
GAUGAACGCUGGCGGCGUGCCUAAUACAUGCAAGUCGAGCGAACGGACGAGAAGCUUGCUUCUCUGACGUUAGCGGCGGACGGGUGAGUAACACGUGGAUAACCUACCUAUAAGACUGGGAUAACUUCGGGAAACCGGAGCUAAUACCGGAUAAUAUUUUGAACCGCAUGGUUCAAUAGUGAAAGACGGUUCUGCUGUCACUUAUAGAUGGAUCCGCGCUGCAUUAGCUAGUUGGUAAGGUAACGGCUUACCAAGGCAACGAUGCAUAGCCGACCUGAGAGGGUGAUCGGCCACACUGGAACUGAGACACGGUCCAGACUCCUACGGGAGGCAGCAGUAGGGAAUCUUCCGCAAUGGGCGAAAGCCUGACGGAGCAACGCCGCGUGAGUGAUGAAGGUCUUCGGAUCGUAAAACUCUGUUAUUAGGGAAGAACAAAUGUGUAAGUAACUGUGCACAUCUUGACGGUACCUAAUCAGAAAGCCACGGCUAACUACGUG